rnacentral:rRNA from 1 species
UAGGGAAUUUUCCACAAUGGACGAAAGUCUGAUGGAGCAACGCCGCGUGCAGGAUGAAGGCCUUCGGGUUGUAAACUGCUUUUAUAUGUGACGAUUAUGACGGUAGCAUAUGAAUAAGGAUCGGCUAACUCCGUGCCAGCAGCCGCGGUCAUACGGAGGAUCCAAGCGUUAUCCGGAAUUACUGGGCGUAAAGAGUUGCGUAGGUGGCAUUGUAAGUUUGUAGUGAAAGCGUGUGGCUCAACCAUAUACACAUUACAAAAACUGCAAAGCUAGAAGAUGAGAGAGGUGCCUGGAAUUCCCAGUGUAGGGGUAAAAUCCGUAGAUAUUGGGAGGAACACCGAUGGCGUAAGCAGGGUGCUGGCUCAUUCUUGACACUAAGGCACGAAAGCGUGGGGAGCAAACA